UGGAAUGUAAGAAAGGACACCACAGCCCCCUUCAAAGGUUUCCAGAGUUAGCCUCUUCAAGGACCUAGCAGCUCUAGUAGGCCCCACCUCUUAAAUGUCCCACGACGCCUACAAGACUGGAGAUAGACUCUAACAUGUAGCCUUCUGGGAUCCUGCAGAUCAAGCCAAAGCCAUGCAGGUACCUUGUCAGUCACUCUGAAGAAAAUGUCAGCUGCCAAGAAGUUCUGGACCACAGGAUCCUCUGCAAAGAAAGCAAGCAUGAGAAGGACUUGGAGUUCCCAUCUGGUGAACCCCUAAUUUUAGGAGUCUCUAAGUAAAUAGCACCAUCCUCCAUGAAGACCUGGAUCACACUCUGCAGGUGGACCAUAUCCCAGGUUCCAUGUUCCAGUCAAGAUGAUGCUCCGAGCAGUUGUCACCAGCUCUACCUCACACUAGCAGGCGGCUGCCUUGACUUUGUAUGGAGGCAUGCUGUUAACUACGCCAAGGGGGUCCAAUCCUGGAGUCAAGAAUACCUGCAGAGUGAGCCUGCCUGCACUAUCCAGCGCCUUCUGCACCAACGCAAGUAUUCUUGCCUUUUCUUUUGUCCUGGCAACUUGCCCAAGUUAGUCCUUUCUCUGGAGGAAGGUUUAUUUGAACUUCAUUCUACCAUUAAUAAAAUUGGCACCAGACGGAUCUGAAGCUGAAGAAAAAACAAAACUCAGCCAAACAAAAAGCAGAACCUGCCCAACGAUGGGGUUUCAGUAAGUGCAGAAACUUUACACAAAAUUUUAAC